UGCCUACGGGGCGCAGCAGUGAGGAAUAUUGGUCAAUGGCCGAGAGGCUGAACCAGCCAAGUCGCGUGAGGGAUGACGGCCCUACGGGUUGUAAACCUCUUUCGUCAGGGAGCAACGCCGGCUACGUGUAGCCGGACUGAGAGUACCUGAAGAAAAAGCAUCGGCUAACUCCGUGCCAGCAGCCGCGGUAAUACGGAGGAUGCGAGCGUUAUCCGGAUUUAUUGGGUUUAAAGGGUGCGUAGGCGGAAUGCCAAGUCAGCGUUAAAAUCGCGGGGCUCAUCCUCGCUCCGCCGUUUAAACUGGCG
rnacentral:rRNA from 1 species